AUUGAAUCCUCACUGCAGGCAACACCGCACCGUAUCUUCUCAAUUUCCAGCAGCCGCAGCCGCAAGUAAGCAAUGGCGGUUCCCAAGCUCGAUAAGAAGAUCAUCAAAAAGCACGUCAAGAGAUGUCGUUAACGAGAAAAGUGGAGAUGAAAGGUCGAUAAGGAUGAUUCACGUAUGACGUCGAUAAGGAUGCUUCAGCAUACAACGUGGCGAAUAGUUGUAAAAGAUUAUGUUUUUUGUUUUUUCGAUUAUGUUGGGUUUAUUGUUUUUACGAAAAUGGAACUUGUAAUUAUAUGUUUUUUUGUUUGGUUUG